rnacentral:lncRNA from 1 species
CCGACUACUACGAGCCUGUCCUCCGCACCGAGCUAAGUCAUUACCGAAGUCAUCGCCGCUUCCAUCGCUCCCGGCGAUGAUCCCUCCUCGGAAAAGAAAGCGAAGAAGGAUUCUUGAAGUGUUCGUUUUAUUCGAGGGUGGAUCGGUCUAGGACAGUGGUUAAUAUCUUAAGCUCUUUUUCUUCCACAGCUUUCGUUUUGGAUCACUCGAUUGUGAUCUCUUCGCCUGUAGAACAAAACACAAGAUUUGGAAUAACAAUGAACAAUUUUGAUUCUUG